rnacentral:tRNA from 1 species
GGUGGUUAUAGCUCAGUUGGUUAGAGCGUCGGAUUGUGGUUCCGAAGGUCGCCGGUUCGAGCCCGGUUUUCCACCC